rnacentral:rRNA from 1 species
AUGAAGAAACAACCUAUGUGGCGGAUGCAAACGCACGAGGCGCACGUAAAACAUACCUGGAACGUAGAGGACACGGAGAGGAAGCGGGCCGCGAUGGUGCCGCCUACGAAGCCGGCAGUGCAGACGCCGGAGAACACCCCGAAGGCCGCCGCUCGCCGCCCCUCGGGCACCUUGUCGGCCUGCACGCCACGCAGAGUAAGAGAGAGCAAUCCAUGCAUUGCAUUGCAUCAAGGUGAGCUCCAGUCAUCUAUGGAAAUAUUGGAAAAACUUGAAGUUGGUGAGAGAGGCGAUGGAGCUGGUUACCACGUAGGCGAGGGAGAGGCACAUCAUGGCGCCCUCGGAGACCAUCGCCGUCAGUUGUCUUGGCGACGUAGAAUGCGUAGAAGUAUGGCCUCGUCUGGUUAA